GCAGAGCAUCCUACGGGAGGCAGCAGUGGGGAAUAUUGCACAAUGGGCGCAAGCCUGAUGCAGCCAUGCCGCGUGUAUGAAGAAGGCCUUCGGGUUGUAAAGUACUUUCAGCAGUGAGGAAGGUGGAUAUGUUAAUAGCAUAUUCAUUUGACGUUAGCUGCAGAAGAAGCACCGGCUAACUCCGUGCCAGCAGCCGCGGUAAUACGGAGGGUGCGAGCGUUAAUCGGAAUUACUGGGCGUAAAGCGCAUGCAGGUGGUUUGUUAAGUCAGAUGUGAAAGCCCGGGGCUCAACCUCGGAAUUGCAUUUGAAACUGGCAAACUAGAGUACUGUAGAGGGGGUAGAAUUUCAGGUGUAGCGGUGAAAUGCGUAGAGAUCUGAAGGAAUACCGGUGGCGAAGGCGGCCCCCUGGACAGAUACUGACACUCAGAUGCGAAAGCGCGGGGAGCAAACAGGAUUAGAUACCCUGGUAG
rnacentral:rRNA from 1 species